rnacentral:lncRNA from 1 species
UGAGACCCAUUACAUCACUUCACAUGCUCGAUUAGGUUUUGGGACCUAUCCCUCAAUCAUGGAAUCACAGAUCCGCGAAAAAUCGGUAAGGGACCAAAUCCCUCAUAUUGAUAUUUACGUUUCUUUUAUUGCAUGCUAUUCUUGAUUGAUGAGACGCAUAUAAAAAAUGUAUACGGGUUGAUGUUAAUCUGGAAAUGAAUUGUAUUAUUUUGGUUUAAGGUCACUGUGAUGCAUUGCUUCCAUUAUUAUUGCUUUAACGAUCUACCUCAUUUUUUGAUCCAUCCUGGUUUAAUUACAUACGCAUAUAUGCCUUACCUCUCAUUAAAAGGAUGUUCAUUUUGUCUGGUUAUUAUUCUAGUUUCGAGUCGUGAGUCAUUAGCUAUAACAUGUCAGAUAAUAUGCAACUCAGGAAGCAUUAUACCACAAGAAUAUAUGAUGUAUGCUGAUACUCUAUUUUAUAUAUUUCUUUUAGUGCGUGGACGGUAAACAAGAUAAUAAUAUUAACGCAUAAACCAUGAAAAUCACGAAGUCUGAAUAUGUAUGUAGCAAUUUGGUUUGAUUAUUCGUUCGCCGUACUACCCCUGAACUUGUACUCCCUUUUAGAUAUUUCUCUGACUUUUGCUGAAUGAGGUGUAUGAUAUGUAUCUCUGUUUUUUGUUUUCUCUCCCUGGGUUGUACUUGUAUACUCUGAGUGCUUGUGUAGGUGUUCCUUGCCUGGUAUGAGUGUGUUAAAACAGGUUUCUUGUUGUGUGUUUAGGUGUGGUGUGUGUGUAUGUAUAUUGCUCUCUGAUAGCUGUGUGAUAUGCGUAAUAGAUUUCUUUCUGAGUGUUGUAUGAUGCAUGUGAAAUCUGUAUCCCCCCUUCAUGUUUGUAGUGUGACUCCCUAUUUAUAGCUGAGUAGAGGUUGGUGCAAAACCUUUUCAAAUUACUAACUGAAAAGCUUACAUAUUCCAUGACUGUUGCUCUCUGAUUUUAAUAUUGAAACUGCUCAUGAAUGCUGCCCCUGAUUGAUGAUUCGUAACUGAAACGGCUCAUUGUCAAUGUCAUUUUAAUUGUGCCUCUUUGAAUUUCUUCCUGAUUGCUCUCCUCUAUAAUUGCCAAUUACUGCUUUAUUGAUUGGAAAAUAUCCACAUGAUACUAUGAAUUCUGAUUUGCAUCCUUUGGUGUUCUCUUUAUUCAUUGAUUAGCUUUUCUUAUCAUUUCCUAACUGCCUCAUAAUAUAACAGUUACUAACUGAGUUUUUGGUUUCUCUUUGUUAGAACCACCAUAAAGCUAUCUUUAGGGAUAUUAGGGCCACACCCUGCAUGAAGACCUGAAUAGACCUAACCGUAUAGUGAAGGGCAACAACAACAUGGCUAGGAUUUAGCCCUCAAUGACCACAAUGUUGAAGAUUUAUGGUCAUGUGCGUAUUGAUGCGAGAUAAGUGUCCAACUUCUUCAUCUAUUUCAUUUUUGUUGUUGAAAUUGUUCACUCUUAAAGUACUCACUUUGCUUCUUCAUCUUUGGCAGUUUGAUGACAUUAUCAAUGUUAAGAGCAUUUGUUAAUGGUUGCUGAAUAAAAAGGGCUAGGUGCACCGAAGAAUUGUAAGCAUAAUAAGAAUGCUCUAUUCUUUGUAUCUGACCCAACCAAGAUGAAGAAAUGCAAGGACAUGUGACGCAUGGAAGUGGGUGACUCAAAAGCUCGAAGUAUAAGCAUCAACGUUAACAUGCAUAUGAACAUUGUGAUGCUUAUCUUUAGGAACAAUGCUUUUUAUUUUAAAAUAGUUACCUUAAUUAGUGCUAGUAGAUUGUGUGUUGGUGGACUAUUAGUGAUCCAUUGAUGACAAAACUGUUGGUUUCUGAAUCUAUGCAAAUGUCCCACGACCAAGGAUGUCUUGGACAAUAUGCUUCAUGUUUCUAUCAAAUAUCCUAAGUAUAGCCUCUUUGGGUUUUCCCAUAUCAGGCAGCACGACAAAGCCAUUGGCAUGUAUAGAACUUUGUUGGUAAUGUGUAAUGUAAUAAAAGUUGUAUAACCUAUGUGGUAUCAACUAUGUGGUUAACCUAUGUGGUUACCUGAUUUUGGUCCCAAUAAUAUCCUGGCCACAAACUAGCAUCUUGACAAAACUAUACACUUGGAAUUUAUUUUAACCACUGGACGUGUGAAUUACUAAC